UGCUGGGGGAGGUCCCAUAAGGGUCCUGUGGGUGCUGCGGGGGUCCUGUGGGUGCCAUAGGGGUCUCAGAGGUGCUGGGAAGUCCUGGGGGUGCUGUGGGGGUCCCAUGGGUGCUGGGAGGUUCUGUGGGUGCUGGGAGGUCCCAUGGGUGCUCUGGGGACCCAAGGGGGUCCCAUGGGUGCUGCGGGGGUCCUAUGGGUGCUAUAGGAGUCUUAGAGGUGCUGGGAGGUCUUGAGGGUGCUGCGGGAGUCCUAUGGGUGCUAUAAGGAAUCUUAUGGGUGCUGGGAGGUCCUGUGGGUGCUGUGGGGGUCCUACAGGUGCUAUAGGGUCCCUAUGGGUGCUGUAGGGUCUUAUGCGUGCUGUAGGGUUCCUACAGGUGCUAUAGGGUCCUAUGGGUGCUACAGAGCUUGUAUGGGUGCUAUAAGUUCUUACAGGCGCUAUAGGGUCUUACGGGUGCUAUAGGGUUCUUACCGGUGCUAUAGGAUCCCUAUGGGUGGUAUAGGGUCCUUAUGGGUGCUAUAGGGUCCUUAUGGGUGCUAUAGGUUCCCUAGGGGUGUUUAUAGGGUCCCUGUGGGUACUAUAAGGUCCCUAUGGGUGCUAUAGGGUCCCUAUGGGUGCUAUAAGGUCCUUUUGGGUGCUAUAGGGUUCCUACAGGUGCUAUAGACUCCCUAUGGGUGCUAUAAGGUCUCUAUGGGUGCUAUAGGGUUCCUACAGGUGCUAUAGACUCCCUAUGGGUGCUAUAAGGUCUCUAUGGGUGCUAUAGGGUCUUAGGGGUGCUGUAGGGUCCUUAUGUGUGCUGUAGGGUCAUUUUGGAUGCUAUAGGUUCCCUACGGGUGCUAUAAGGUCCCUAGGGGUGCUAUAAGGUCCCUAUGGGUGCUAUAGGGUCUUAGGGGUGCUAUGAGGUCCCUACGGGUGCUAUAGGGUCUUAGGGGCGCUAUAGGUUCCCUAUGGGUGCUAUAGGUUCCCUAUGGGCGCCAUAGGGUCCUUCCGGGUGCCGUAGGCUCCCUACGGCCUCCAGAGGCGGGGC